rnacentral:tRNA from 2 species
GGGCGAUUAGCUCAGUUGGUUAGAGCGUAGCGUUGACAUCGCUAAGGUCACUGGUUCGAGACCAGUAUCGCCCACCA